rnacentral:lncRNA from 1 species
CUUAAAUGUUCAUAACAUACUAAAUGUAUUAUGUUCAUAUUGAAUUUGAUAGAAAACCAAAAAUUGGGAAUUUUGGAAAUAAAGGAGAAGGGAUAAAAAAAAAAACAUUUUCCUGUCCCCAAUAACCUAUGACUUAUGAUACUUUUGCUGAAAUUCUCCAGUCAUUCAAUAUUUUACAAAAUUCUUCCAACAACACUUUACAUACUUUAAACUACGCUCUGAAUGCCCGCGAUUUCGCGGGUGUGUUCUAGUAUA